UACGGAGGGUGCAAGCGUUAUCCGGAUUCACUGGGUUUAAAGGGUGCGUAGGUGGAUUGGUAAGUCCGUGGUGAAAUCCCCGAGCUUAACUUGGGAACUGCCAUGGAUACUAUUAAUCUUGAAUGUCGUGGAGAUGAGCGGAAUAUGUCAUGUAGCGGUGAAAUGCUUAGAUAUGACAUAGAACACCAAUUGCGAAGGCAGCUCGUUACGCGAAUAUUGACACUGAUGCACGAAAGCGUGGGGAGCGAUCCGG
rnacentral:rRNA from 1 species